GACGAACGCUGGCGGCGUGCUUAACACAUGCAAGUCGAACGGUAAGGCCCUUCGGGGUACACGAGUGGCGAACGGGUGAGUAACACGUGGGUGAUCUGCCCUGCACUUCGGGAUAAGCCUGGGAAACUGGGUCUAAUACCGGAUAGGACUCCGGACUGCAUGGUCUGGGGUGGAAAGCUUUUGCGGUGUGGGAUGGGCCCGCGGCCUAUCAGCUUGUUGGGGGGGUGAUGGCCUAACAAGGCGACGACGGGUAGCCGGCCUGAGAGGGUGACCGGCCACACUGGGACUGAGAGACGGCUCAAACUCCUACGGGAGGCAGCAGUGGGGAAUAGUGAACAAUGGGCGCAAGCCUGAUGCAGCGACGCCGCGUGAGGGAUGACGGCCUUCGGGUUGUAAACCUCUUUCAGCACAGACGAAGCGCAAGUGACGGUAUGUGCAGAAGAAGGACCGGCCAACUACGUGCCAGCCGCCGCCGUAA
rnacentral:rRNA from 1 species